rnacentral:tRNA from 1 species
GGGGCAGUAGCUCAGAUGGGAGAGCGCUUCCCUCGCACGGAAGAGGCCGGCGGUUCGAGUCCGCUCUGCUCCACUA